GCAGUCCGUGAGGAUGCGUACGGAGGAUGUGAAGGCAAACCCCGGAACAGGCGGCACAACCAUGUUGGCUGGCAAGAUCGGACGACCCUGCCAACAAAGGGGAUGUCCAAUACCACCAUUGGUCUUGCAAGUUAGGAGGACUGGAUUCGGGGGAAAGUCGAAUGA
rfam:Paenibacillus sp. MY03 contig23, whole genome shotgun sequence.